UACGUAGGUGGCAAGCGUUGUCCGGAAUUAUUGGGCGUAAAGCGUGCGUAGGCGGUUUGUUAAGUCUGCUGUGAAAUCCCCGGGCUCAACCUGGGAAUGGCAGUGGAUACUGGCAAGCUAGAGUGUGUCAGAGGAUGGUGGAAUUCCCGGUGUAGCGGUGAAAUGCGUAGAGAUCGGGAGGAACAUCAGUGGCGAAGGCGGCCAUCUGGGACAACACUGACGCUGAGGCACGAAAGCGUGGGGAGCAAACAGG
rnacentral:rRNA from 1 species